rnacentral:rRNA from 1 species
UACGUAGGGUGCGAGCGUUAAUCGGAAUUACUGGGCGUAAAGCGUGCGCAGGCGGUGAUGUAAGACAGUUGUGAAAUCCCCGGGCUCAACCUGGGAACUGCAUUCGAGACUGCAUAGCUAGAGUAUGGGAGAGGGAAGUGGAAUUUCAGGUGUAGCGGUGAAAUGCGUAGAUAUCUGAAGGAACAUCAGUGGCGAAAGCGACUUCCUGGACCAAUACUGACGCUCAUGUGCGAAAGCGUGGGGAGCAAACAGG